UCACACGUACACAAAUUAUUCAAGCUCAGGCAUCACUGGCCAUCCAGGUCUCACGAACAUACUAUUAUAUAAUCAUACUUAGUUGGCAAUGAGAUAAGCCUCAACAGCCUGGAAAAUGGCGCGGUUCUGGUCAUUAGCGAACUUAAUGUUCUCUUCAGGGACGACAGCAUCGCCUUUGGUGUUGAAAGUGAUGGUACUCUUGACAGUGCAGCCACCAUCAGCAUUAGGGACAUACGCGAAGUGGUUGUUGAUGGAUUCAAUAAAUCCCAGAAGAAUGUCUCCGUCGAUGAUGCUGUAAGCGUAUGUGAAGGACUCUUUGUCAAUGGCAUCCACCUUUUGCUUCAUUGUCUUGAAGGGGCUCGCUGCAUUGAGACACGGAUGAAUUAGUAUCUGAUCGAUUUUUUAAAAUUGUAAAUUACUAACAAGUAAUAUGAUCAUGGUCAUAAUAAAAGAUAAAACAGGACUAACCAUCGCCAAGAUGGACAAGCUUGACGGUUCCAACUCCACCAUCGCCCUCAAGAGUCUCGGAACUCUUGAUAGCACCAGGGAGAACCUGAGGAAGAAGUGUAUCGAUGUCGAGGCACAAGGCCUUGAACAGUUUCUCUGCUGAUACAGAGGAAGUGACUUCGGCUUCAGUCUUUUGGACACCCAUAAUUCUAUUGAAACAGAAACUGAGAAAAGUACUAAGAGCUUAUCAAGGAAUGCUGUGAGAUUGGUACGAGGAAAUGAGGAGGUUUUGGCCACUAUUUAUAGUGCUCAGUAUGGAUCUCCUCUUGCUAAUCUAGAUUAUUCAGUGAUAAAUAUUUUUGAAUACGGUUAUUGAAUGUGAUUAGCUAGGUAAUAGUUGUGCCAAGUGAGUACUGGUUAGUGGUUAGUGGUUAGUCUUGGCUUUACAUAACACCUACUUUCCAUUUUCCACGUAGAAAAUGUCUUAAAGCAGAGCUUGUUGUGUAUGUGUACAUCAAACAAGUAGCCAGAAAGCAUGACUUUGAACAGUUUUUCUUUUAUUAUGACUUUCAACUUUGAGGGCUGAUAAAGACGCUUUGAAAUAUUUAUAUAUUAUCAUUCACUUACGUGUCCGGCCGGGCGUUGUCUUCUGCGAUAUAUGUGAAUUUAAUUAGGUAAAAAGAUGCCUUGGACAAGUAAGUGGACCGUUUUGGUUCAUACUUAAUAAGUCCGGAAAUUUCAAAAUCAUUUUCUGAUACUAAAUGGAAAUGUAUAUUUAUUUAUUGAGCAACUCAGUUAUUGUAUUUUUUUAAACUACUUAUUCUCAUAUUUCUCAUUCUCAUUUUCGAUAAUGAUUUUCGUUGAUAUCUAUUUUCCAAACAAGCGCUAGAUUUCUCUACUUUUAGAUCGUUUGCAUGAGCUUGGUAAGAACGAUUAAGCGUAGGCUUGGUAAUAUUUACAGAAAUGAUAAAAUUUCUUCAAAUAGAUUAUUUGUAAUCUUAUUUUGAAGAAAUGAAUAUUUAUAAAUUUUAUACAAGUACGAGAACAUGAAGGAGUGGCGUUCUGCAUCUAGAAUUAUGGUACGUAGACAUGUGCAAUGUGAUGCAAGACGGGGACAAACACAUUCCACUUGAUUUUGGUGUAGAAAAUUUUGGUUGUGAAUUUUCAACAUUGACCUGCAUGUGCACGAACUGUCAAUCCCAAUUCCCAAAUACUGCAAUUUGUUUUCAUGAUAGGGUGAUGGCCAGUGAGAGAAACAAAGAUUCUUAAGUUUCUUAGAAAAAUAAAAUAUUACUUACUUUAAAAACGAUUUAAAACAAAUUUGAUUGAUAAUAUCUGAUUGAGUUCACUCACACUAAUAAUAACGGAAUCUUUUUUAUGUGUACGAGUCUUUCAAUUAAAAAUGAUCAUAUAUUUGCUGCAACAUUUAGAAAAAGAAUUUGAGAAGAUAAUUUGAAAUAAAUAACAUUACUAAAAUAACUCCUUGUGUUUCUUUUACUCAGACACUUUUGACUUGGGUACGUACUUUUAGGUGGGUUGACUGAUUUAUACUCCCUCCGUCCCAUUUUAACUGCUUUUGACUUUUUUACACGUAUUUUAAGAUGUUAAAAAAAUUACAUCUAAACAUGAUUAUUUUUUAUAAAAUUUAUAUCAAAUAAAAGUUUAAAGUCUAAACUUUUAUUUGAUAUAAGAAUUGAAAUUUUUUAUUGAGUGUAAAUAUUGUUUUUUUACACCUCAAUAUACGUGUUAAAAAGUCAAACAUCAGUUAAAAUGAGACAGAGGGAGUAAAAAUUAUUAUUUUUAAUUAUUUUUUUGUGAAUUAUAAUUUUGAGUACAUAUUUUUAUUUUGAAAAAAAAAUUUAAAAAUAAUAUUUUUAAAUAUUCGGUCAAAAUAUAAAAAUAUGUGUCAAAAAAUCAAACAUCAUAUAUUAAAAAGAUAGCACAGCCAUAACGAACAUUAAUCAUGAUACAUGAUAGUAACUACUGCAACCAGUAGGAAGUCGAUAUAAUCCAUCCGUUAAAUAUGGCGUCUUUAACUUGAAGCUGCUGUUAGAGUUUUCAUUUAUAGAAAGUUCCGAAUCAGUUAAUUAUUUUUGAUUUUUUUAUUUUUCAAUAAUACUUCUCACCGAAUUUGUUCUUAAAUGAUAGAUCUACUGAGAAUAUGAUUCGAUGAUAAAUUAUUUGGGAUGAAUUAACGACGAGUUAGACGACUGUAAUUCAGUCUCAAUCAUGCUCGAUACCGAUUGCAAUUCCUCCUUUUUUUCUCUAGCUCUUUGUUAUUUUCUUUUCGCGGAUAUGGUGUCUUUCAUCUGGAUUUUCUUUUCGGUCACUAAAGUUGUAUAAUUGUAUUGACUAAAUUUCUGAGAUCAUUUCUGCAUGAUCUUUGGUUAGUCGGUAGAAUUUUUGAAUAAAAAUUCUCCUCUUCUUAAUUCUGCGAAUUUUUUUAUUUUUUUGAGUGGCUUUUUCCGGACAUCAAAAUUUUUAUCUACAGUAACAUCUCCAUCGGUCCAUCCUUUGCAGAAUGACAUUUUUUUAAGCCCCCUAAAACAGAACACAACCACAAACCUCUGCAGAAACAACUCUUCAGUUUGCAGUGAUUACAAUUUAACUAAAGCUCAGCUUCUGCUCAUUUACGCAUCAGCAAUUCUCUAACUCUCUAACAAACUACGGAGGAUCAGAUAUAAGUCUCAGAUUAAGAGACAUCAAAUAAUAAACAUGACAAAUAUGAAUAGAACCAGAAGUGAUGUUAUCUCGAAUGAAAUGACAAUAGAUUAUGAGAUGUGUUCUCCUAGCCUAAAAAACUGGAAUCUCGGCAAUGAAUUUUGCAGCAAAUUUUCACUUAACAAAUGUAUUAGGGUUGGAAGAUAAAACUUCCAAAUUAAAAUAGCUCUUACUCAUAUACUCUGCUUCUGCAGUAGUUUUAACACGGCUAACACAUUUAUGUGAAACAGGUGCUCAGAACAUUAAUAUGAUUAUUUGUUAUUAACAUCCAUGAUCAAAUACAAAGUUUGAUUGUGAAACCUUGUAAAAAAUACAAGGUUUUUCUAUUAUUGAUUAGAUUUCGAGUGUUAAUUUGAUGUUCUUGAAACAAAUAAAGUUUCUCCAGUAUGGUAAUCCUUCUGAAGUUAUGCAGAAGACAGUGAUUCAUCACAAAAUACUAUUAUAACGCGAGGAGAAAGGAAAGAUACAUGUACUGAAGUUGAAACAUAACUUCAGACUGAUUACAAUACCGGAGAAACAUUAUUUGUUUCAAGAACAUCAUAUAUGUAUAACACUGGAAAUCAAAUCAAUAAUAGAAAACCCUUGUACUUGUCACACGCGCACACAUUAUUGAUUAUUCUCAAUCGCCCUCAUCAAAAUAUAGCAUGAUCAUAAUUAGUUUGCAAUGAGAUGAGCCUCAAUAGCCUUGAAAAUGGCGAGGUUCUGGUCAUUAGCGAACUUGAUGUUCUCUUCAGGGACGACAGCAUCGCCUUUGGUGGUGAAAGUGAUGGUACUCUUGACAGUGCAGCCUCCAUCAGCAGUAGGGACGUAGGUGAAAUGGUUGUUGAUGGAUUCCACAAAAUCUAGAAGAAUGUCUCCGUCGAUGAUGGUGUAAGAGUAGGUGAAGGAGUCUUUGUCAAUGACAUCAACCUUUUGCUUCAUUGUCUUGAAGGGGCUAGCUGCAAUACACAUAUCCAUAAUUAACAUAUGUGAGUUGAUCAUCUAAAAAGAUAUUUAUGCAUCAUGUCUACUGUUGUAGCCAAUAAGCAGGACAAAAUCAGUUUUUGGGGUCUUUAGUCUGUCUAUAUUAUGGUUCGUCAUCUAAAAUCUUAAGACGUUCAUAGUCUGUUGUGAGAAUAUUGGGGUGACGGAGAGUCAAACUUAGAGACAUUUGUCACACCUGGCUCUGAUGCCAAAACUGGUCCAUCUAAAACCUAGUCUAGAAGAAGACGUUAUAUGAAUCUUAUGCUAUAUUUCAACAUUACGUGAUAAUGAGGUGUGAUUAUAAAUGAUAAAAGAGUACUAACCAUC
rnacentral:lncRNA from 1 species